rnacentral:lncRNA from 1 species
AUAGUGCAAGGUUUACUUACUGAGCUGGUGUAGCUCAUACUUUUUUCUUUUUCUUUUUCUGUUCAAACAAAUAAGGUUAAGAAACAAGGAUGAUCUAGGCUGGAAGGUCUACAUCAAUAAGUAUGGAGAUUUGCAGUUGAAAUUAAAUUUAUAGGAUUAUUAUGGGCUUGUAAUCAAUUACUGAUGAAUUUUGAUAUCUGGGUUUAGUAUUAUCUUUUGGAUUUAGUCGC